rnacentral:lncRNA from 1 species
CUCUUAUCGCGAAGUCCCUUCCUUCAACGCCCUGUUUCCUCUCUCGGGUUUCCUCCCUCCCCCGCCAAGGAGGGGGAAGGUGGAAAAGGGGAGUGUGGUGGGGCGGGUGAUAAUGGGGAGGUAUCGGGGCAUAUAAUAGAGGAGGGGGUGGGCCAAGAGAGCGCUAGUGCGUAGAGACGAUUCUAGGAGAAGAGGUGCUCGGAGGAAAGGGUGGGGGCUGCUGAUGUAAUGGGGAGAAGUGAUUAAUCCUUCGGUUCGCCGUUUGAGCCUCCCCCCCACACCCGAUUUUUUAAGCAGAAAAAAAAAAAGUGGAGCGAGGGAGCCGAUCUUUGGUAAUUUGGUUUUCUGUGGUAGGUAGGUUCAAAGUCUGAGCUGUAGGGAGCGCUAGAGAUUCUGUGCCCUUUAGCCAAGCUGAGGGUAUGUGCAAACCUUGGAGAUCCACUUUACGGAGCUUUGAGCUUGAUAACUGAAGUUUGGAGUCGGUUCCUAACCGUCGUCUAAAAGGAGUCAUCUAAGUCUUGAAAAGGUUUUUUGGUCAGUAGGCGAUAGACCUUUGGUCGGUUUACUUUUUGGAGACGUAGUCUAUGUAAAAUGUUCCGGGAAAUAAUAGGUGAGAAAAGGAGAGAAGUAAAUGCGUUGAGGUUGUGAUUGUGAUUUAAAAGUAAUUUUUUUUUAGAUCCCACAAACUCAAAGGAAGAGAAAAAACCCCAGGAGGAAUUGUCGUUUGUAUCUGUAUCUGGUUCCCUCAUCAUAAUCUCUCCCCAAGGAAAACGCGUUUUUAUUCCCUAGCUGCUGUUGUGAUGACUGAAAAAGUACCCUUUCUCAAUUCCUCCCGUUCUUUUGUUUAUCUUUUUGUGGACGUGGUAAAACUGGCAGUUUACCUGAUUCCUGGUUUUCAGACCUUUGGGUGAUUUCUCUCUCGCUUGAGUUGAUCAGUUGCUGUCUUAGGUUUGAUGUAGAUAAUUAAACCGUUACAGAAUAUGAUUUAAAUAAAAUCAAAGCUGAGAGGGAGAAAAGUGUGUCUUUUGAGAGGAAGGAGAGGGGCAAGGAGAGCCAGUAUUGUGUAGGGUGUUUGAGUCCCUGAUUUGAUAUGUGACUCUAGGCAAAAUACUUUACCUUUCCAGAUAUCAGGGUCCCCCCACCGUUUAAUAAGAACUUAUUUUGCACUACAUAGUCCUGUCUUCAAUUUUUUAAAAUUCUAUAAUUUUGAGAUGAUCUCUCUUUCGUCCUGAAAAUGGAGAAACUUACAUCUAAGUUUCCUUCUCAAAAAAAUAUUUGAGGAGGAGGGCUGUUAGAAAAUAACUAAAGAACUGCACAUUUUUAUGGAUGUUAGCUAGGUGCAAAUGGGUAGAAGUUUAGAUGUGGUUCAAAUAAAUGUAGGGGGAAAAAGGAAAAUUACAUGCUGUUAUACUUAUUAUAAGUGGAUCCUUAAUUCUGAUUUUUCUAAAAAUUUACUUUUUUAUUCAGCAAGCACUUAUUGGUUCCUCCUGUGUUUGCGUUACUAUGUAAGCUGCUGUGGGAAAUACCAAAAAAAUAAAAGUUAAAGUCUUGGGCCUAAAAAAUUUGCAUUUUGGUAUGGCAGAAUUGAAGAUUUAAGUCAGAUGUACAAAGAAAACAUAGCUUGUUUAUUUUCUGUAAUUUUUAGCCUCCUUGAGUCUCCACAUUAUCUCUUUUCUUUUUUACCAUGCUGAGUCAGAUUUUAUUUCUCUACCUCUCUCUCAUUCCAAGUUAUGUAUGGGGGUCGAGGGUUGCUGUUUAAGGCAUAGAUGGGAUGUCUUUCACAUCUUUGGCAUCCUGGGUUUCUGGGUUUAUUACAAGAGUUCUCUGGCGUGUAGCAGUAAGAUGCCUUGUUCUAACAAAACCAAUAUAUUAUGACAAUUUUCUGAUAGAUGGAAGUAACGUAUCUUGAGAAAGGGAGUGCCUUUUUCUAAUUCACACAGUGACAGGUAGGCUGGUAGCAGCCCUGAGGGAUGAGAGGCUUACAUGGCAUCAGGGAAGGGCCCUGAGCCAUGCGUGCCCGGCCUUGUGUUGUCCUCUGGUAUGGAGUGGCUGGUAUGGGUUGAAAGCAGGACUGCUAGCCUCAGUGGUAAAACUGGUCAUUUCUGUCCUUUUGAGAUGUCAUGCUGGUUCCUCUGUAGUUCCUUUGCAGAAGUCCAUACCUGAGCCAUUUGCCCUAUACACUGCAACCUUUGUACUGACCCCGGGUCCCUGCAGGUCCAUUGAUUCUCACAGUGCCGCUCUCUCUUCUCACUGAGAUGUGUGGGAACUUCUAGGUUCCCCGAAUACCACAUGUAGGCCGUGCAGAGCCAGGAGCCUUGCUUUGCGCUCAUUUAUUGAGCCACUUCCCUCCAUCAAUGUUGCGUUAUUCUCCCCAUGUCAUACUGAACAUGCUGUCAAGCUGAAAGCAGAAUUCCUAGAGGGCUCAGCCUUUCACAGGAUGCCCAGAGAAGCAUACUAUCCCCAAUUUUCUUGGAUUUCCCCAUAUCUAUAUGAAUACUUCAACUCUGUACCUCCAGUUCUAGUUGCCACCAUGAGAAGGGACGGAAGAAACUCUUAGGAGGACCAGCUCAACUCUCAGGGGUCCCAGGGAUUUACGGUGAGGAGCGGUGGUAAUAACUGAGGGAGCUGCUAAUCUCUCGCAAUUGGACAAUCCUGGAUGAACAAAGUUCCCAACUCUGUGGGUCUGGCAGGCCAACUCUGUCCUGGCACCUGGUCAGCUAUUUAAAGAAUAUUGAUUUGAAGAAGUGCCAGAUUACUCCUUUUCCCAGGGCUCCCACAUGACAUGAGCCAGUACUUUCUUAGUCUUUCUCUCUAUUGCCUGUCUAAUGUUGCUUAGUUUGGGCCACCUACUGCACAGCUCUCCAAUUCCAUGGCUUCUUCUGAAAAGAUAGUCUAUUGCAAAGAGUGGUGGGAGUGGAGAGGAGGACAAGGGUAAAAACUGAAAAGAUAGGGAGACCCACUGCACCACUAAUAGAACGGCCAAAAUCCAGAACAAUGACAACACCAAAUUCUGGUGAGCAUAUGGAGCAACAGAAAAUCUUGUUCGUUGCUGGUGGGAAUGGCAAAAUGGUUACAGCUACUUUGGAAGACAGUUGGCGAUUUCUUACAAAACUAAAUAUGCUCUUACCAUAUGAUCCAGCAAUCAUGCUCCCUGGUAUUUACCCAAAGGAAUUUAAAACCUAUAUCUACACAAAAACCUGAACACAGAUGUUUAUAGCAGCUUUGUUCAUAAUUGCCAAAACUUGGAAGCAACCAAGAUGUUCUUCAGUAGGUAAAUGGAAAAAUGAACUAUGGUACAUCCAGACAAUGGAGUAUUAUUCAACGCUAAAAAGAAAUGAGCUAUCAAGCCAUGAAAAGACAUGGAGGAACCAGAAAUGCAUAUUACUAAGUGAAAGAAGCCAAUCUGAAAAGACUACAUACUGUGUGAUUCUAACUAUAUGACAUUUUGGAAAAAGCAAAACUAUGGAGAUGGUACAAAGAUCCAUGGUUGCCAUGGGUUAGGGAGGAGAGAGGGCUGAAUAGGCAGAGCACAGAGGACUUUUAUGGAAGUGAAACUACUCUGUAUGGUACUAUAAUGGUGAAUUCAUGUCAUUGUAUAUUUGUCCAAACAUAUAGAAUGUACAACACCAAGAGUGAAUCCUAAUGUAAACCAGGGACUUUGAGUGAUAAUGAUUUGUUGGUGUAGGUUCAUCACUUGUAACAAAUGUACCACUCUGGUGGAGAAUGUUGAUGAUGGGGGAGGCUAUGCAUAUGUAGGGACAGGGGAUAUCUGGGAAAUAUCUGUCCUUUCUCCUCAAUUUUGCUGUAAACCUAAAACUGCUCUAAAGAAAUGAAGUCUAUUAAAAAAGACAUACAAAAGCAAUUUCUUUUUUUAAAAAAAGAAACAAAAUUCAGUUUUCUAUGUUUAAUUUUUGAAAAAGCUAUAUUGCCAAACAGACUGUCCACAUGUAUGAUGGACAUUCACUCCCCAAGCGCUGUUCUAGAGGGAGAAGGGUGAUCGCCUCAUACAUGUGUCAACCAUGUCAAAUGACAUUGGCUCUGUGGGGCUCCUACCCUUGUCAUAUUUCUAUUCAGUGUGCAGUGAAUCAUUAAGCAUUUAGAUUUACAUAUAAAAUAAUUGUUGAGAAAAUGUUAGUAUUUAUGUUCUUUACACAGUGGGAGAAGGGGCCUUGGUGUGGAGGUCCAGGUUUUGGAGUGUGAAAACAUUGAGGAGUCUUACCCAAUCCAUUCUCAUUACUUCCCCUCCUCCAUUUCAAGACAGCCUCUGACACUGUAGAAAUUUACACUUACGGAAAUUGAAAAUUAGGGAACCGAUCCUUUUGUGUAAGUAAAACCCUCCAAGCUACUACUUACCUAGGAUCACAAAUGAAAGGAGUCAGACUUUUGAAAACAAACAGAUCAACAGAUUAAACACCCUCUAGACUUCUAAUAACCCUAGUUAAAAACCCUUAGUUAAAAAGUAAACAAUUAAGUGAUACUCAUCAAAGGUGGAUAGCUUUUAGCAUAGAAGCUUGUAAUUUUUUUUUUUUUAGGGAGCCUUACUUGGAAUCCAUCUUGUUCUAACAAGAAGGUAAUAGAGCUUUCUAGUCAUUACAGACUUCACUUAAAGGGCCAGGUCCCAACACAGGGUAUGUCUCCUUGAUACAGAUCAACUUUAUUAUGAGACUUAUUUUAAUGAAUGCUUAACAUAAAAUUGAGGGUAUUUUUGUUUUAAAAUAUAGUUUGUUAUUAGUCUUCAGGUCAGAAUCCUUUUGGGAAGUGGGCAGGGCAAGGAUUGUUCACCUACAAACAGUAGAGUGAGCAAAUACAACUAGAUCUUCCUGAAGUCUCCACUGAUGAGCCCCCUUUCAAGCCCGACUUCUUGAACCUAAAUGUUUCCCCUGUUCCCCUUGACUCCAACCUCUAGUGUCCUACCUUUGAUGACUGGAUUCUGAUCACUUUAUGUUCCUUGCCUCGUUUCCUGUUUGCUGGACCUGCUCCUCCCAAGGUUCUAAUCUAUGUCGUGGACCUGGGCUGGUAAUUUGACCAAGAUUUCCUGUUUCCUUGCUUGGUAAUUUAAUUUGGCACUAUAAUGAAGUAAAAAAAAACAUGGGCUUUGCAGUCAGAUAGACUUGGGUUUAAAUCCUGGCUGUACCAGUAACUGGUGGUCUGAUUUGGGUAAUGCACCUCUGUAAGUCUCAGUUUCCUUUGCGGUAAAAUGAGGAUAUUAAUGCCCACCUCAAACUAUGGUUGUGAUUGGAAGUAGAUAGUGGAGAUAGUUGCACAACAUUGUGCCAUUGAAUUGUACACUUAAAAAUGGUUAAAAUGGGAAAUUUUAUGUUAUGUAUGUUUUACCACAAUUUUUUAAAAAGAAAAAAAUAUGGUUGUGAGAAUUAGUCUUUGUGGAACAUCCAUUACGAUGCUUGGUGCAUAGAGGCUCUCAACAAAUAGUAGCUGUAUAGCAUAGAAUAUUUUAUAUUGACAGUAGUAAAAAAGCACAACUCAAACUGCUUUAAACAAUAAGGAAAUGUACUGGAUCAUAAAAUUGAAAAGUUCAGAGGUAGGGCAGGCUUUGGGUUAGUUUGAGUCACUAAGGACUGUUUCUCUAAGUCGUCAGUUACUACAGACUCAGCCAUUUCACUAAGAGCUCAGUUUCUUUCCAUCUUUCCACUCUGCCUUCUGUAAUGCCAGCUUUUCCUAAAGCUAGCAAUUCUCAUGAUCACAAGAUGCCUGCCAAUAGGUCCAAAAAGUACAUGUUCCCUCGUCCACGUCUACAGAGCCUGACUUCCAGCAGUCCAGCAAGCAUCCUGAUAUUCACUUGCUUAAAUCCAAAAACUGUGCAUAGGAAGAUGGAAUGUGAUGGUUGGCUUAAACUAACCAGGGAGAGGGUCAGCUUCUCUGGAAGCACAUGGGCUGCAUGGGGAGGGGUGGAUUCCUGAAAUGAAAAUAAAAGUACUGUGGAGGAGAGAAAGCAGGGCUAAGAUGCUGAGGAAGCAACCAACAAAAGUCCAUUUUCAUAGCUAUUAUCAUUAUUGGCUUUCUUGGCCCUUAGCCCUUGGCUCUUGGCUAUUUCUUUGGAAAUCAUUACAAAAACAAAAACUAAGAGAGCUUUUAUUUUGAGUAAGUGUAUUCUUUCUAGCAAAGGAAGAUCAAUAAGUAGAAAAGUAAGCUUAAUUUAACUGAGUGUUAGGCAUCUGGAACACCAGGCAAACAAGCAGCAAAAUGCACAGAAUGAAGGAGUUUAACAGGAAUGAAUGUCAGGGACGAGGAGCAGGGAGGAAGCUUGAAAUAUGGUGACUUGCCAAAGUGCCAAACCCAGCAGGGUGAAGUUAGCUACUGGCCUGUUCUUUACUGGAACCAGGUUAGAAGUCAUGACCUGGGUCAGGAUGAAGAGAUGACUUAUCAAGAGGAGGGGACAUUAGCCAAAGCAAAGCUGACAGAAGAAAGAGCUGAUUGAAACCUGAUUUUGACUGCUCGGCCUGUGCCUCUGCAGCUGCUAUCUGCUCAUCUUUCUCUUUUUGACCCAGCCCCCACCUAAUGACUCGCCAAUUUCUGCCAAUUUUAUCCUUGUCCCCUCUGCCAAGAAGGCUCUUGUGCAUUCCUUUGCUGCACUUCAUCUGGCCGAUUCUUACCCUUUGGUUAGGAUUUUCAGUUCUGUCUUUUCUUCCCAGGAAGGCCUUCCAGUACACCACUGCUGCCCCAUCUUCCCCCACCCAAGACACCACAGGCUGAUGAAAUAAUCCUGUUUGGUACUCUCUACCUGUAAUCAACACCCAGUAGCCUAUUGAUUAGUUUAUUUGUCUGGUCCCAAUCUCUGACCGCUCUUCCCCACCACAUCAGAGCUAGUGAAGAGCAGGGACUUUACCGUAGUCAUUUUUGGUUCCACGAUGCCCAGCACAGUGCCUGGCAUGUAGUAGGAGCUCAAGGAAUGAAGGAGGUAAUUCCUUUGGUUACCAUCUGAUAUCCUCUUCGCCAGGACUUAAGAAAUAGAACAACACAUAAAAACCAAAGUGUUCUCCUUACCUGGAAAGAAGGAGUUGGGGAUGAGGAAAACAGACACGUUAAAUAGAUUUCGUAGCAGUUUGUACCCACCUAGACUCAGGAAGGGAUGAAGACAGAAUCAAAACUGCCAAGGUCCAAAAUGCCUCUUCUCCUUUGCUACCCUCUGUUUUCAAACACUGUUCCCACACUGUUAAAGGAUCUUUAUUUUCCCUGUUUAGUCACAUCGUGUUCACAAUUUUUGUGUUGUUUUUUCCCUUCAGAGAGUCAGGAUGUGAUUAUUAUAUGAAAGUGACCAUUAUAAUAGUUGAGACUUACAAAUGCUAGUUAUUGGCAUUUACAGAGUGAAGCAAGCCACCUGAACUAAAUACCAGGUGCUCAGUAAACUUGCUGUAAUACCUCAUUCCUGGUUACAAAGAGCUCAUAUGACCUUUCGGUAGGGAAUUUGUUUUCUGUUUAAUUUAUUUUUCCAUUCUGAAACAGAGGUUCAUCCUUUAUAGGAAAGGAGUCAAUUAUUGGGUAAACACAGUAACACCUAAUGACUAUUCCCUCUGGUAUUUAGUCUCAAAACAUUUUGCAUUUCUUAAUACAUAGAAUUAAAAAUAUUUUAACAUUACGCUAAAAUGUGACUACAUACAAUUUUAAAUGUUCCAGGAGGCAGAACACUCAGCCCUAUUUCUCAAGCAGGCUAACUGAAAGGUCUUCUGCUUCACCUGGUGGUUAGGUUUUGACAAUAAGCUAAGGGAAGAAGUUGCAGAAGUGAGGGCUCACCUUAACAACCUCUUGUAGGUUUAUUUAGGAUUAUUUGGAGGCAGGACCAGCCAUAGGCGAGUUUCCGAUGUAAUGUGUCUUUAGGCCCCACCCCUGCAUGACCCAUGACUGUUUCAAGACCACUUUUCCCCACUCUUGGUGUCCUUCCUGGUAGGUCCUCAUGCUCUCAGGCCAUGCCUUUAUGACCAGAGCUGAGGGCUGCCACACUGUUCCUACAUAAUGACCCACAUGUACACUGUGCUCUAACUCUCGUUACUCCCGCGCAGCUUCCCAUAAGAAUUAUAAUAAUGCUCUUAAUUUUAAAGUAUACUUUUAAAAAUCGUAUUUUAAGGUUUUCUCAAUUCUAAGACAUACAUACUCCUCUCUUCCCCAACCAUUUCAAUAUUUCUGAAAUUGGAAUUAAUUUUAGUCUUUUUCUUUUUUUCUCCUAAAAAAGUAGUUACUACAAUCUUACAUUUAAAAGUGUCUUAGAAUUGGAGAGAUAUGGUAUGAAUGUACUCUAUUGGAGAUAACUAGUUUCUUCAAGAGUCAGAAAAUUGUGCUCCAUGUGGAGAUUUGAGUUAUCACACAGCUAAUUCAAGCAGAAAAAGGACUUUUGGGUAGGAAUAUAUGAAUAGUUUAAACAAAACAAACUAAUUGCUAGUUGGUUAUCUGGACUAACUGUUGUCCAGAUAAUUAUCUUAACCCUCUGCCUGCUUUUCAUUUUCUAGUUUGGAGAUGGGAUGCAAAGGAAAUGGGAAGCUAAAUGUUUCCGUCAAAUAAAAGAUAGGGGAUCUCAAACUCUCUCUCUACACAAAUUGGCCUAAAGCCUAAUAUUUGUGUUGGACAAGAGGCUGGGGUUAUAAACAGAACCAUCUAUAGAACAUCCUUGAUGUGGAUGACCGGUUAUCUCAAACCACCCCUGAGGUCUUCCCUGAAAGGAUUGUAACUUGAUGUCAUCUAUUCUUGCUAAAGAGAUGAUGGCUGUUUUGGUCACUGGUCUGUGGAGAGGGGCAGAGCUUCAACACAACUAUGAACACACAUGAUUCCUGCCUUGGGUAAAGUGCUCGGAGACAUCUGAGCCCCAUUUGUGAUGUUCUGCAAAAUCAUACAGUAUUUUUCUAAAAUAUUUUUGGGAAGACAAUUAUAAGUUGAAGACAAGCAUUAUUCUAAGUAUCCACUCCCAAACAGUCUUAGUUGUUAAAAUUAAGAAUAAAGUAGAAAUUCUAAGAACAUGCUUGUCCCUGACAUUUGCAGUACCUAGGACAAGAGUACAAGUGGAGGACUAUGUACGUCUAAAUCAUUAAAAAUUAUAUAUCAAGCUAAAAAACCAUUAAAUAAAUGUAUUCCAUUCACCUUCCUUGAUAAAUAUACCUUUAUUAUGACAAAACAUUUUUAAUUGUAUAAAGCAAUGGCUUUUAUAUGACUGAAAGUCAGCUAAACAGCAAAAAUGACUGAACUUAAUUAUUAUCGUACAUUUGGGUAUUCUGUGGAUGGACUGGUGAUGUUUGGAUGAGUAAUAAGAUAAAGUACAUAAUUCAUUAAUUAUCAUAUAUUUAUGUGUUUUCUUUUUCUUUUUUUCAGGUAAAUCACCAAUCAUAUUGUUAUAAUCCACAUAAUUUGUGUUCUGUUGACACUAAUGACAAGAUAUACAACGUUUCUUGAAUCAACGUACUUAUUAGUUUUUUAUCUUUUUAUUACGGAAAAUUUCAAACAUUUACAAACAUAGAGGAUAAAAAACUCCAUGUACCUAUCAUCCAGCUUCAACAAUUGUUAACCCUUGGUUGAGCUUGCUUCAUCUAUACUCCCCAACUCUCUAAACCCAAUUAUUUUGAUGCAAAUCCUAGAUAUCAUUCUAUCCGUGAAUAUAUCAAUAUGCAUCUCUAGAAAAAAGGAUUUCCUAAAAAAUUAACCUUAGUACUAUUGUCACAUGAAAAAAUAAUUCCUUAAUAUCAGAUGUUUUAAAAAUUUGUUUCAAUAAAAUUGGAAAAGUUUUAUUCAGCUGAGGCAGUAGCAACCAGAAUUGUUAGCAAAAUUUCUCAACAUUUAUAUUUGGAAAUGAACCAUGAAUUUUACAUAUUAAUUUCAAACAUUUUAAUGGGAUUGCAAUAAUGAUCAUUACCACAGAAAAUAAUACAAAAUUUUAAUUUUAUCGAAUAAAUUCUACAAUUUGCAUUGUGAUUGUUUCCCCACCAGCCUUUAAGCAAUAUCUAUAUCCAUACAGUGUUAAGUUCUUUCAAUAUUUUCAAUGCUUAGAUAUCAUAAAGAAAAACAACAAGAAAAAUAUGUGGUUCAAUUUUUUCAAAUUUCCCAUCAUAGGAGACCAUACCUCUAUCUAGAAUGCACAGAAAAUAGCAUGUAUAUAUCUAUAUAUAUGUGUGUAAUAUAUAUAUAUAUAUUUUUUAAGUAUGCUUUUUUUUUUUUUUGUGAAGAAGUUGGCCCUGAGCUAACAUCUGUUGCCAAUCUUCCUCUUUUUUUUUUUUCUUCCCAAAGCCCCAAUACAUAGUUGUAUACCCUAGUUGUAGGUCAUUCUAUCUCUUCUAUGUGGGAUGCUGCCACAGCAUGGCUUGAUGAGUGGUAUGUAGAUCUGUGCCCAGGAUCCAAACUGGGAAACCCCAGACUACCAAAGCAGAGUGCACAAACUUAACCACUUGGCCAUGGGGCCGGCCCCUAUAGGCAUAUUUUUAUAUAUGAGCAUCUUCAUAAUCAUGCAAACAGUUUUCUUUCCUUGUUCCAAUGUUCUUUUAUCUUAUUGGAAUAUCACUUUUGUUGUAUAAGUCACAUUUAGUAUCUUUCUAUUUAGAAAAAUCAUUUUCUCUAAAAAUUUAAAAAGUUAUUUAAAAUUAUUCAAAAAUUGAAAUAGGCAAACUUAGAUCUGUUUAUGUCUUCUGUAAACUUUUGCUAACACCAUUAAUAGUAGGCAAUGGUCCAUAUCAAAUAACUGUGGUUAGCACAAAAUAAAAAAUAUUUUCUACCAUAGGCCACAUUUCCUUAUUUAUUUGAGGAUCCUCUAUUGUUUCACUUAACUAUUCUAGUGCAUCUCCCUAUCUUGUCUAAAUUCAAUCUAACUGCUCUAACAGCAUUUAAAUGGCAUCUCCAUUGUUAACCAGAGUGGCUGUGAGGUCAAAUUUGAUAUGUUUUUAAUCAAGAUGACCAUGUUGGGUCAGAUCCAGAAAAUAUUGUAUAUAAUCUUUGAAUCACUCCAAAGAAUGUCGUUGAUAUUGUCAGAGUUGAGGUCGUGUGUCUUCUAAGAACAUGUUGAUAGAUAGUCAAUAAAUUUGUAAGUGUUUGUGUUAGUAAGAUGCAGGGCCCUCUGAAGUACAGGGCUCAGGGCAGGGGCUCCUCUUGCCUGAGUCUAAGAGUGGCAUUGCAGGUUAAUAAUAAAUGUAAGUAUUAAUAAUACCUUAUUAUGUGCUGCAUUUUUUGAAGUGCUUCCACAUUUAUGAUUUCUUUUGAUCUUCACAAUAACCUAUGGACUAGAUAGAGCAAUUAGAGAUGAGAAACAGAGGUCUAGAGAGGUUAAGUGAUUUAUCUAAAAUUACACAUCUAAUUAGUGGUAGAGCUGGGGGUGAAACCUAGGUCUCCAUUCACAGGUCUUCCUGUUGUACUAUAUUAUACCAUGCUACCUUCUUAAUGUUUUUGAAACAAGGAGACCUGACAGUUAGACGGGUUGCAUCCCAACAUUUUUCAUUGCUUAAAACCCCUUGGAUUUUAUAAGAGAAAAUAAAUAUAGGACAAUGAAUUUAAAAAAAAAAGCCGUAUUCUCUUUCAUAUCUGUUAAGUCUGUGUGGGACCAAUAUAUACUUAUUGACCAGUGCUCCAAAAACUAGAGAUUUAUCUCCUUCCAGGGAAAGGUUCACUUGAGUAAUACAGAAUACAGAAUAAAUCUUCUGAAGGGUGAGGAUCAUAUUCCUUAACUUACUCAUAAGGUACUAAGUACAACUCGAGGAACAUAAAAUUUGGGAGCAUCUUAUAAGAGCCAGGGAUCUUGGAAUGCUUACUUCUUAGUGCAAUAUACAGCACCUAGAAGUACAAAACGUGUAUGAAAAUGAAUAUAAUCCUCUUUUAAUCGUGCAAGCCAGACGUCUUGCUGAUAGCCCUGUGCAGUUUGCUCUGUACUGCCUUGGUGCCUCUGCCCUCUGCUCAGAUAGACCCAAGACUGUAAGUGCUUACUCAAAUCCUUUUUUCCCUCUCCACUUUUUAUCACUUCGAAUUUAGAAUGCAUCUUAAAGUCAAUGGCAUCGUAGAUGAAAUAGAACAUAGCCAGCUGUUAAUGAUGGCUACCUGUGGUGAAUUCUGUAUGGCUUGCGCUCUCUACAAUAAGAACGCAUUAUUUUUAUAAUGAAAACAAAUUUUAAAAAUUUUAGACAAAAAAUCUUAUGUGGUUUGUAUACCCUAUCUCUUAGUACUAAAAGGAUAUCAAGAAUGUAAUAACAGUAAUUAGCAUUUUAUAAGAUUGUUUAUUCAUAAUGGAUUUCAUAAGCCCCACAUGCUAGCAAUAGGCUUGAUGCUAGCAGUAGGCAGUUAGCUGUGAAUUAUCCACGAUGGAAACACUCCUUAGAGCUCCCUGGUACUUACUAUAUUGUAUUUUAAUUGUCUGUUUACUUGGUCAUUUUUUUCUACAUGAGUGAGAACUCCUUAAGGGCAGGAAGUGUGCUCAUUCAUUGUUGUGUCUGCAGAGCCUAACACAGAGCUGAGUCUAUCAAGAUGGUAAAAUAAAUGAUUGAAUGAUAGACCUGAAGGUACUCAAUAUUUUUUUGAAUGUUAUUUCUGCCUAUGUAAUUAAACAGUUUGUCUUUGGACAGGGUGAUUAUUCUCUGCUGGGAUGUGGCUUGUUCAUUUUUCCUUUGUGGAUGGUGAAUAGCAAGGCACAAGCAGGAAGUGUUAUUUUUAGGAAGUGUCUCUAUAUUCUCCCCUCAGGCAUUUACAGCCUUAGCUUUCUGUUGUCAGUUCUGUUAAUCUACCUAAUUAUUGUGUAAGCAGGUAGAGAAAAUCACUUUCCAACUUGCUACUAAAUUAAAUAUCUUACCGAGACAGUGGUAAGUAGGGGAAGUUUGAAAUAUUUUUUUUUAUUACUUAAAUUGGAGGAAAAAAUCCUGCCAGUGAAAAUUUCUCAUCUGGUCUUUAAACUCUGGUAUCAUGUUUAUAUAGGGCAAGCCUGUUUGGGAGAAUGUUCUCAGUUCCUAUAGUUCCAUGGUGAAGGAUUGAGCCUAUUUUUUUUUUUAUAGAAUCUGGUACAUAAAUAAAAAUUUAAAUGUGGAUUUUUUUCAAGGAAUGGGAGAAAAUAUUUGUAAAUCAUAUAUCUGACAAGGGAUUAACAUCCACAGUAUAUAAAGAAUACCUGCAACUCAACAACAACAUCAAACCCAAUCAACCCAGUUAAGAAAUGGGCAAAGAACUUGAAUAGGCAUUUCUCCAAAGAAGAUAAACAGAUGGCCAAUAAGCACAGAAAAGAUGCUCAAUAUCACUAAUCAUUAGGGAAAUUCAAAUCAAACCACAAAGAGAUACCACUUCAGAACCAUUAGGAUGGCAUGUGGAAAUAACACGUGUUUGUGAGGAAGAGAAAAAGUUUGUGGGAGAAAUUAGAACCCUUGUGCAUUGAAUGUAAAAUGGUGCAGCCUUUGUGGAAAAGAGUAUAGAAGUUCCCCAAAAAAUUAAACAUGAAAUUACCAUAUGAGCCAGGAAUUCCACUACUUGGUUUAUACCCCAAAGAAUGGAAAGCAGGGACUGAAACAGAUAUUUGUAUACCAAUUCAUAGCAGCAUUAUUCACAAUAGCCAAAAGGGGGAAACCCAAAUGUCCAGUAACAGUUGAAUGGUUAAACAAAAUAGGGUUUCUAUAUAUAUACAAUGGAAUAUUAUUCAGUCUUGAAAAGGAUAAUCUGAUACGUGCUACAACAUGGAUGAACCUUGAAAACGUUAUGCUAGGUGAAAUAAGCCCAACACAAAAGGACAAAUAUUCUAUGAUCCAUUUAUAUGAGAUACUUGUUGUUGUUAGUGCCAUUGAGUCGAUUCUGACUCCUAAUGACCCUGUGUGCAGAAGAGUGGAACCCUGUCUGGUUUUCUUUGAGCCAUCCUCUCAUCUUUCGGCACUAUCAGACAAUGCUCCGCUUCUAUUUGUGGGGUUUUCAUGGCCAGUUUUUUCAUACCUUCUUCCUAGUCUGUCUUAGUCUGGAAGUUCUGCUGAAACCUGUCCACCAUGGGUGACAUUUUUCCCUGGUAUUUCCCUGGUACUGUAGCUUUCAGCAUCACAACACACAGCCGCCACAGUAUGACAACUGAGAGACAUGUGGUGUGGUUCUAUGACCGGGAAAUGAACCCAGGCCUUGGUGGUGAGACCGCCGAAUCUUAACCACUAGACCACCAGGGCUGGCUAUGAGGGGAUUAGAGUGGUCAAAUUCAAAAAGACAGAAAAUAAAAUGGUGAUUGUUAGAGGCUGGGAAGAGGGAGGAGUGGGGAGUUACUGUUUAAUGGGUAGAGUUUCAAUUUGGGAAGAUAAAAAUGUUCCAGAGAUGGAUGGUGGUGAUGGUUGCACAAUGUGAAUGUACUUAAUGCCACUGAACUGUACACCUAAAAUUUUACAUGUCUAUUUUGCCACAAUAAAAAAAAUACUUGACAUUUACUUAGCACUAUUUAAAAAGCACUUUUACUUGCAGUAUUUUAUUUGUUCCUCAAAACAAUCUUGAGUAACAGGCAGGGCAGUUGUUAUUAUCCUCAUCUUACAGAUAUGGAAAUGAGAGCUCAUUUGGUUUAAGUGAACAGCCAAGGGAUACAAAACUAGGAAGUGGCAGAGUCAGAAUUAGGACCCAGGGGCCGGCUCCAUGGCCGAGUGGUUAAGUUUGCAUGCUCUGCUGCGGCGGCCCAGGGUUCGGAUCCUGGGCGUGGACAUGGC